GAGGGUGCAGCUCAAGCAGUAGGGCGCAUGCUUGGCAUGCACAAGGUCCUGGGUUCAAACCCCAGUACCUCCU
rnacentral:tRNA from 1 species